rnacentral:rRNA from 1 species
GUUUGAUCAUGGCUCAGAUUGAACGCUGGCGGCAGGCUUAACACAUGCAAGUCGAGCGGGGGAAGGUAGCUUGCUACUGGACCUAGCGGCGGACGGGUGAGUAAUGCUUAGGAAUCUGCCUAUUAGUGGGGGACAACAUCUCGAAAGGGAUGCUAAUACCGCAUACGUCCUACGGGAGAAAGCAGGGGAUCUUCGGACCUUGCGCUAAUAGAUGAGCCUAAGUCGGAUUAGCUAGUUGGUGGGGUAAAGGCCUACCAAGGCGACGAUCUGUAGCGGGUCUGAGAGGAUGAUCCGCCACACUGGGACUGAGACACGGCCCAGACUCCUACGGGAGGCAGCAGUGGGGAAUAUUGGACAAUGGGGGGAACCCUGAUCCAGCCAUGCCGCGUGUGUGAAGAAGGCCUUAUGGUUGUAAAGCACUUUAAGCGAGGAGGAGGCUACUUUAGUUAAUACCUAGAGAUAGUGGACGUUACUCGCAGAAUAAGCACCGGCUAACUCUGUGCCAGCAGCCGCGGUAAUACAGAGGGUGCGAGCGUUAAUCGGAUUUACUGGGCGUAAAGCGUGCGUAGGCGGCUUAUUAAGUCGGAUGUGAAAUCCCCGAGCUUAACUUGGGAAUUGCAUUCGAUACUGGUGAGCUAGAGUAUGGGAGAGGAUGGUAGAAUUCCAGGUGUAGCGGUGAAAUGCGUAGAGAUCUGGAGGAAUACCGAUGGCGAAGGCAGCCAUCUGGCCUAAUACUGACGCUGAGGUACGAAAGCAUGGGGAGCAAACAGGAUUAGAUACCCUGGUAGUCCAUGCCGUAAACGAUGUCUACUAGCCGUUGGGGCCUUUGAGGCUUUAGUGGCGCAGCUAACGCGAUAAGUAGACCGCCUGGGGAGUACGGUCGCAAGACUAAAACUCAAAUGAAUUGACGGGGGCCCGCACAAGCGGUGGAGCAUGUGGUUUAAUUCGAUGCAACGCGAAG